AUCGUACAAAACCCCCUCUGCCCAGGAGUUGAUCAUCUUUAGUUCUCAGAAAGAGAGGUGAAGUUAUUGGUGCGUACUUUCUCAUCUGAGUAGUCUACAAACUGCAGGUUCUUGCUGAAACAACAUCUCUGAUAUUCUCAGAGACAUAAAAGGACAUGGAUAUGAAGCCUCUGAUGAUUCUCCUCCUGCUAGCAGCAAACUUGCAAGGAAUCACCACCACCACUCCUGCAGCAGCUGCUACCACCAACACCCCUGCAGCAGCUGUCACCACCACCACUCCUGCA